GGAAAUAGCAGCCAGGAAAAGGUUGCUGUUGGGGAGACUUGAUAACUGCGGGGUCACCGCAGAGACCAAAAAGAAAGGAUGGGCGAGAGUGGCUGAGUCUGUCUCUGCCGUCGGGGGUAUGGCAAGGGACAGUGACGCCUUAAAAAACAAGUGGUCCGACAUCAAGUCGGCAGCUAAGAAGAAGGUGAGCUGAAGGACCAUUCAUGUGGACUAGUUGGAGGAGAAGGUGUCGUCCAUCAUAGAGAUGGCGGUAGAGGGACUGUGCGACCGGAGAGUACAGAAACCAGCUGGACUGCUGAUGUGAAAGGGAUCGUUUCAUGAGAAAACAGAGAUGAUGUACAUGAUAGUCCAAAGGAAUGGGCUGGGGAGGAGGAAGGAGGAGGAACGGCAUACACCACAGACCAAGAUUGGGUUGGAAAGCUCAGUGAGAGAACCAGCGGCACUAGGCUGGAUUCUUAAUGCACUGACUAUCCUCCUCCAGGCCGAAGUUUGGAACGGUCGGCCUGUGCUGGGAAUACCAAGCGCCUGGCUCUCUGCUCUGGGAACAAUGGGAGAAUGGGUGUGCUGCUGCUGCGCCAGUUCAACUAUUAAAGAGCGUGAAGCAGAGAGCAGGGAAAUCACUGCUGCCUAUCUCUACAGCCCUCUGACGGACAUCUCUAAAGUGAACACAGAAAGAGAUAUUGUGAUGGAAAUGAUUAUGUUGGCUCAAUAUUAACAGUGAUUUUUUUUUUAUGAUUGAAGACUAUACUGGGAUUUGAAGGAAGUUAGUGUUUAAUGUGAAUUUGUUUAAGAUAAGAGAGAGAUAAAGUAUGUCUCCCCAGCAAAUGAUGCAUUGGUUCCAAUGUGGUUAUUUAGGGCAUCAACAUGACUGGAAUUAGAAGCUACAGUGCCAUCCAUACAUCUCAAGGUCUGGACUAACGUAUGAGAUCUAUUUCAGUAAAUCUCAGUCAUUUCUCCAAUCCUUUAUGAACUUCCUAUGACACAAUCACUUUCCCAGGGUGUAGUUAUGCUUUACAUACACAUUUAAAUGAUGUAGAAGCAUACAGUCUGGGGCAUCAUAUUAUAUACAGUACAUGCUUCCAUAUAAUUACAUAUAGAAUCCAGAGGUAUAAUUUAUAAGAUCUCUCUGCAUGCUUCUGUAUUCUAUCAAGUUGAU
rnacentral:lncRNA from 1 species